AUGAUCAAGAAACAAAAACAUUAAAGAGAGAAGACUUUUGUGCAUUUUUGAAUGAUAAAAGAGGACUUUGAAGGCUUGCCUUAAAUGAGAGAAAUAUCUCUCUUUUGUCUCUCUUUCCUCACUCUCUCUCUCAUUUCACGUCCACCCCCUCCUCUCUCUUUUCUAUCUCUCCAUUUUCCUCUCAAUUUUCACUCUUCUUCCCCCUUUUCUUCCUUUCUCGGCCAAACCAGCAGAACAGCCUUUGGGCUGCUGUUCUUGCUGCUUUACACCACCACUGAACCACCAGCAGCUCGCCGUGUUUGCCUGGAGCCGUACGCCGCCCGUUCAAGCCUUUUUCCGCCGCCGGUUCAAGGCCGCCGAGCCAAAAACAGCCGCCCCAAGUUGCUGUCCAGCCGAGACACAGUCGUCGUUGUCGUCUUUCCGUGUCGAUUCUGGACCGUGCAAAGCGUAGCCCUCGCCGCCGCCGACGCACCGGUGUCUCCGGAAUUUUAAUCGGGUGCUCAGAUAUGAGUACGCGUUGCGUUCCAAGAGAACUGGCUGUUUCGAGGGGAAACACCUUUUUGAGGUUAUCCUCGUAGAUAGAGGAGUUAGAUUAACCCCUACCUUUUGUGGUUGCAAUCGGAUAGGUCUGUGUGGCGGACUCGUAAUAUGUUAACCCUAUGUAUUGUUGAUGUUGUUUAAAUUGAGGUAUGUUUUCCUGAC